rnacentral:rRNA from 1 species
AGAACGAACGCUGGCGGCAUGCCUAAUACAUGCAAGUCGAACGAGAUCUUCGGAUCUAGUGGCGCACGGGUGCGUAACGCGUGGGAAUCUACCCUUGGGUUCGGAAUAACAGUUGGAAACGACUGCUAAUACCGGAUGAUGACGAAAGUCCAAAGAUUUAUCGCCCAGGGAUGAGCCCGCGUAGGAUUAGCUAGUUGGUGAGGUAAAGGCUCACCAAGGCUACGAUCCUUAGCUGGUCUGAGAGGAUGAUCAGCCACACUGGGACUGAGACACGGCCCAGACUCCUACGGGAGGCAGCAGUAGGGAAUAUUGGACAAUGGGGGCAACCCUGAUCCAGCAAUGCCGCGUGAGUGAUGAAGGCCUUAGGUUGUAAAGCUCUUUACCGAGAUGAUAAUGACAGUAUCGGGAGAAUAAGCUCCGGCUAACUCCGUGCCCAGCAGCCGC